rnacentral:rRNA from 1 species
AUUGAACGCUGGCGGCAGGCCUAACACAUGCAAGUCGAGCGGAUGAAGGGAGCUUGCUCCUGGAUUCAGCGGCGGACGGGUGAGUAAUGCCUAGGAAUCUGCCUGGUAGUGGGGGAUAACGUCCGGAAACGGGCGCUAAUACAGCAUACGUCCUGAGGGAGAAAGUGGGGGAUCUUCGGACCUCACGCUAUCAGAUGAGCCUAGGUGGGAUUAGCUGGUUGGUGGGUAAAGGCCUACCAAGGCGACGAUCCGUAACUGGUCUGAGAGGAUGAUCAGUCACACUGGAACUGAGACACGGUCCAGACUCCUACGGGAGGCAGCAGUGGGGAAUAUUGGACAAUGGGCGAAAGCCUGAUCCAGCCAUGCCGCGUGUGUGAAGAAGGUCUUCGGAUUGUAAAGCACUUUAAGUUGGGAGGAAGGGCAGUAAGUUAAUACCUUGCUGUUUUGACGUUACCAACAGAAUAAGCACCGGCUAACUUCGUG